GUUUUUAGCAGAGAGUUGGACUCAAUGACCUCCUGAGGUCUCUUCCAAACUUAUGAGUCUAGGAUUUAAAAUGCAAGUAGAAAAACACAAAUCAGCUCAGAAGGGUCAUUUCAUGUAAAGGAGAGGGGCUUGUGGAAGAAGGCACAAUAGGGAUUGUGUGAGAAGCUGAUAAAUAUGUGGAGAAAGCAGCUGAGAAGUGGAGUCCCAAAGCUUGGUAAAAGACAACGAAUGAGUAGGGGCAAAAGAGUUAUGUAGGGCUUUGGUGACAAGGGAUACUUUUUUCAAAGUGCAGCUAAGUGUCUUAGCAGUAAGUCCCAGUGGCAUUUAGCAGCUUUGAAAAUGUGAUACAAGAAGCUUAAGUCUGAUGCAAUAAUAGGUGGGAGCCUUUAAAAUGUUGUGAAUGUUCAGCUGGAUCCAAACUCUGUCACAAAGGCCUAUCUCUUUCCUUAUAAACACUGCUUUUGUGUUAGCUCAGAUUUGUGAAGAGCUGUGCAUGUUAAGAUAUUACAUUGUACUACUCCUCUGUGAGGUGGGCAAGCGUUGUUAUUAUCCCUCAUCUACAAGCGGCGAAACAGACUGAGAAACAGAGACCUCAAGAGCACAGCCAAUGGCUAACUAGAGGUGGUGACCCAAUCAGGGCCAUGAAGUGUCAGGAUGAGUAAGGAAACAGAACUGCAAAUGUCCUCAAUAACCCCAUUUCCAAAACAUUUCGUUUACAAGACAGCUGAUUGGAAGUACUGGACUAUAACUACUCCUUCCAGAUAGGAGAAGUAUUAUUAUUCCCAUUUUAUAGAGGAGGAAUUUGAAGCACAGAGAGGUGCCCCAGAGCAAGCAGGAGUGUCAGAGGUAGCACUGAAAUUAGACUCAAGAAUUCCUGAAUGCCAAUCCUUAACUGAAACCAUCCAACCCUGCAACCAUGCAAGCACCACACAUGGGAACGUAGAAGAAUCAUGCACAGAACACAGAAAAGUGAGGAUCCUCAUUAAAUUUUGAGCUAUCCUUUCAGGCCUUGCAUUAUCUAUGCAGAAUACGUGUGCUUUUGUCUAUAAGGAAACUAGAUAGUCCGGUUAACUGUCUCAAAGCAUAAAAUCAAGAGGUCUCUUGGCCUUAAAAGGUGGUGAUUUUGGACAACAUUCCAAGAUACUGCUGCUAGAAAUAAAGUCAUUUUAGAGGGAGCAUAUCAGUACUUUCUGAUACCGCAUUACCUGUUUUGGAGGUGAUACACUACUUGCAGACAUGACCAUAAACAUUUUUUGAGUGAUGGCUAGAGUGUCUUCCAAAUAUUAGUAACCUUCUUUCCUAGCAGAUGUCAGUCAAUCAAUUUGAUGAGAAACACUAUGCAUACAAUCAGAUGGAGAAUAUAUUUGUAAAUGACUCAACAACCUAUAUAUUCACUUUCUAUACUU